rnacentral:rRNA from 1 species
CUACGGGAGGCAGCAGCUAAGAAUCUUCCGCAAUGGGAAAGAUUGUAAAGUUCUUUUCUUGAUGCAGAAUAACCUGGGGAGGCAAUGCCCUGGGGAUGACGCUACUUGAGGAAUAAGCCCCGGCUAAUUACGUGCCAGCAGCCGCGGUAAUAC